ACACGGAGCUUGCUCUGUGGGAUCAGUGGCGAACGGGUGAGUAACACGUGAGCAACCUGCCCCUGACUCUGGGAUAAGCGCUGGAAACGGCGUCUAAUACUGGAUAUGUGACGUGAUCGCAUGGUCUGCGUCUGGAAAGAAUUUCGGUUGGGGAUGGGCUCGCGGCCUAUCAGCUUGUUGGUGAGGUAAUGGCUCACCAAGGCGUCGACGGGUAGCCGGCCUGAGAGGGUGACCGGCCACACUGGGACUGAGACACGGCCCAGACUCCUACGGGAGGCAGCAGUGGGGAAUAUUGCACAAUGGGCGCAAGCCUGAUGCAGCAACGCCGCGUGAGGGACGACGGCCUUCGGGUUGUAAACCUCUUUUAGCAGGGAAGAAGCGAAAGUGACGGUACCUGCAGAAAAAGCGCCGGCUAACUACGUGCCAGCAGCCGCGGUAAU
rnacentral:rRNA from 1 species